rnacentral:lncRNA from 1 species
UUGAUUUCAAACACUCCAUUUUUCUAACAUAUUUAUAUGUAAUUUCAGAAUGUGGACUUCAUUCCCCAGUCUUACUCUGAAGAAAAAAGAGCUACAAAGAGUAAUGACCCAUGAAUUCUGGAGAGAAACACAAGGCUGAUCCCUUUGAACUGCUGAAACCUGAUGACUUGCAAUCAAUAGGCUGUGAAACAAUAAGGUCAGCAGUGCGAAGAUUCCGAUUUUCUGCCUCUAAACGCAGACUCAUGUGCUGGAACACUGAGUGUGGCUGAUUUAAUUUCACACAAAAGAAGUGUGGGAGCAGCAGUCUUGGUUCCCCUGGAUAAACACUGGACUAUGUGCUACUUGUGCUUGGCUACGUCAGCUGUAAGCCCUCAAGGUAUCAAGUCCUUCCAGAGUGAGAUGGUUCACUGCAGGGAGCACCUGGUAGGCCUUCAAAGGAGUUGCAGGGCUGGAGAAGAGCAGCUCAGAGCUCUCUGCCUUGCUCCCAUCACCCCAACAGCCACAGAGGGAAAACACUCCUGACACGGCAUUUCCUUUGCUGCGUGCUCGGCCUCUGUGUGAUGGGCAGGAAUAGCAGAAGGUGACUCUGGUGAUUUCAAGCUUUAAUACCUAGCUCUGUGGGCCCAGCUUCCAACAGGUGAGUGAAAUGAAGGAAGAAUGGGGCUUUUUUCAUAUUGAUAAAUCCAGCUGAAUUGUGAGCAUUCCUGAAAGUGUGCAAGGCUCUGAUAAGAGCUUUAUCAAGCAUGUAUUACAUCAACUGGCUGCCACCCUGGCCCCCUGAUCAGCUGCUUUUCCUAGCAACAAGACCCAGACAAUAAGCUCACAGCUAUUGAGGGAGCACUUCAGUGUCAGGGGAGGUGCUGUUACAGUAAUUCUGAUUGAGACCAGGUGUAAAGAAGGACAACCACACCCAGGUUUAUACACACAAAGAUCUUGGGAGAACUGAGCAUCUUUUAAAGAUCCCCUUCAGCUCAAACUUCAGUUCUGCCCAUCUGAGAGCCCCUCCAUCUUCAUAAGCAGCUCAUUGGGGAGUCAAAAGAAAUAACUGUUAAUAAUUAAACACCAACUUGUGAGAAAUGUAAUUUCCAGAUGUGUUUUUAAUGCAACAUGUAAUUAACAACAUUACCAAGGUUUAUUAGGCUCUAUAAGGACUUUGCAGAAAAGGUUUAGUGGGAAUGUAGAGGACAGAACUCUUGAUCUAGAAAAGAAAAAACCGUAGCCCACGAAUAUAAUUUCUUCUGUUGCAAUGAG